UUGACCUGGAAGUGAAGACGUCAGUGUUGUGUUUACAUGUGUGGAUGUGAACGUCUGUAAGCGCAGCUUUCUAUUUCAUUUAGGUGAUAUUAAGUUUAUAUCUGUAUUUAUUUACUGCUACACUAUAUUGUUGAGAUGAUUUCUUAUAGAAGGAAUAGUACAGACGAAUGAUAUAAUUUGUCAUCGUCGAUAUCAGAAUACUGGAUAGCCUAACAGUUACUCGUGGUAAGUCAGAUUUUUUUUUAUUAAUUAAUACUAAACUAAUACUAUUUAUAAUACAGUACUUGCUUUUUCAGGUGGAGAGGCAUAUUAGAGCUCAGUGAGAGCCCAUAACAUUAUACAGCAGUGUCGUCUUGAUUUAAUUGGGAGUUGAGCAACUUUUCCAUAAACAAAAUUCUAAUGCUGACACAGAGGAUGGAGUUAUAAUACCAGAGAUCAACUGUCUCCAUCAGACAAUAAUGUUACUUUGUUCAGACAUAUCACCUUUGAAUGACUGGGAUCCUGAUCUUCAGACACCUGAUGUAUUUUAUUUUAAUAUUAUAAAAUAGCAAAUAUUUUAAUUUCUUUGGAGCUCUAGAUUAAAACAAACACAGUUUACAAGUACACAAGAGGUUGCAGUUUAUCCUUAUUAGUCUAUGCUGAUCAUGGAUUAGCAUACCAACAGCAUAUGAAUGGGAUAGUUCACCCAAAAAUAAAAUUCUCACUUAUUUUACUCACCCUCAUGCUGUCCCAGAUGCAUUUUACUUUCUUUCUACAGAUAAAUACGAAUUAAGAUUUUAAGGAAAGUAAUCCAUCUCUGCGAGUCCUAAAGAUGCUUUAAAAACCACACACAGUGUGGUGUCCAUGCGACCUCAGUGGAUGAAUCAAUGCCUUCUGAAGUGAAACAAUAGGAUAAGAAAAAUACUAAUAAUGUAAUCUGUUUUAACUAUUAAAAAUCACUUCCGACAAACUGUCAUACAUGGGUUGCAAUCCACUUGUCUUAUAUGGACUCACAGAGAUGGAUUAUUUCCUUAAAAAUCUUUGUAAUUAUGCAUUUUGUAUGUAUAUUAUGAGAAUACUGUGCAUUACAUGUAUAGUAUGCAGUUAAUGUUUUGUGGCUUCUGGUCUUUCCUGUCACAACAUAAUCGCAUCCAAGACUUUCACUUUGAUACUUGUGUAUAUGCUGUAGUGACAAUAAAGAAUGUAAAUUUA